ensembl:lncRNA
CAAACAAUGCAGACAGAGUAAGAGGAUUUGGAGGGAGAGCCAGAGGACGAGUUCGACUAAGAGGAGUUGGAAGGGGAGGAAGAGGACGAGUCAGAAAUGGAGGAGGACAUGGAACAAGAAGAGUGGUCUCAAAUGAGAUUAGGGCUACAGUAGUCGAUCAUGUGAUAAACCAUGGUUUAACAAUGAGAGAGGCUGGACUGAGAGUCCAGCCUAAUUUGAGUAGAUUUACUGUGGCGGGUAUAAUUCGAACCUUUAGAAAUGAGAACAGAGUGGAAAGGCAAAGGAUUCAUGGUGGGCGAGGUCACAUGUUCACUGAAGUGCAGGAGACGGCUAUUCUGAAUUUGGUUUUGGCCAAUAAUGCUAUUACAAUCCGUGAAAUACGCAACCAUAUCCUUAAUGAUGCCACAGUUUUUGCGAACAUAAAUGCUGUGAGUGCCUCAACAAUACACCGCGUCCUCUAGAAAAAUCAAAUGAGAAUGAAACAGCUGUAUAGGGUCCCUUUUGAAAGGAACUGUGAUAGAGUCAAGAAUCUUCGACAUGACUUUGUGAAUAGAGUUUUGGAGAUGGAUGCCCAUGCCAUUGUGCAUGAAUACAUUUAUGUGGAUGAGGUGGGCUUUAAUCUCAGUAAAACCAGAAGAAGGGGAAGGAAUGUCAUUGGACAAAGGGCCAUUGUCAAUGUCCCUGGACAACGUGGCGGAAACAUUACAAUGUGUGCUGCGAUUUCACAAAAUGGUGUCCUGCACCAUCACGCCACACUUGGCCCCUAUAACACUGAUCACAUCAUACAAUUUCUGGAAACUAUUCAUGACAUGCUUGUUCAGGGUCUGCAGAAUGAAGACCAGGCAAGAUUUGUCAUCAUCUGGGAUAAUGUCAGGUUUCAUCAUGCCCAUCAGGUCCAAAACUGGUUUGCUAUGCAUCCCCAUUUUUCUGUUGUCUACCUGCCUCCAUAUUCACCAUUUCUAAAUCCUAUUGAGGAAUUUUUCUCCACAUGGCGCUGGAAAGUGUACGAUCAUCGUCCCUAUGUUAACAUGACACUUCUCCAGGCAAUGGAGGAGGCAUGUGGAGACAUUGAUGCUGCCUCCAUCCAAGGUUGGAUACGUCAUACAAGAAGGUUCUUUCCACGGUGUCUGGCAAGAGAGAAUAUAGCAUGUGACGUGGAUGAAGUAUUGUGGCCGGAGCCAGCCCGGAGGAGAGAUGGAGCCUAGAUACACCCAACCAUCUCCACAUGCAAGCACACACAUUAUGUUUGGUUUUACACUACAUGCUACAACACUACAUAUUUUUGAUGUAUUUUUUUUUCUUUUCAAACUGUGUACACUAAUACUACAUUUACAACCACAAACAGCAAAAAAAUAAAAACAUAAAUAAAAAGUUUGGUUUCAAUUUUGCUUUUGUUUUUACUUUAUAUAUUCAACAGCUCUCUCCC